GAACAAAAAUAAAUAAUAUUUACCAAAUAUUUGAAGGGAAUUAACAAACGCCAUAAUAGUUAAAACUAACUACAAUUAUUCCGUAUUAGUUGAAACAAAUAAAAAUACCUCACUGAAGUGAGAGCAGUUCUACUAUAUAAGGUACUAGCUGACUCCGCAGUCGUUGCACUGCGUGAAAUUAUUUGUUUUGAAAACAAAGUUGAAUUUGUAUAGUGUUGGAAAACAUUUAUUUGCGAUUUUUCUAAUUUUAUUUUUCAAUGUAACUCAGCUUAAUAAAUAACAUUUUUUGUGUUCUGUUCCGGUGCAUAAAUGUACAGAGAAGAUGAUUUUUCAACUCGUGAAUGAAAUUUAUGCCACACAUCCAGCGACUGUCUUUGAGACUUGUUUAUUGUCAUCCCAAAUGCAAGUCUCAUUGGAAACUGAAUACGUUUGAACCGAAAUGGCAAAUCGUUGGAACUCAAAGAAAUUCGUGGAAUCAAGCAUUCUGCCACCUUCUUCGUCUUCAUUUUCAACAUGAUCGAUCGAUGUGUAUGAACACCGGAAGUUGACUUUAAGUCGUAAAGAUUAAAUCAUCGACAUCGGUAUUUUUGCCAGUUAAAAAUCUGCGUGCACUCAACCAAUCGUAGUUACGAUAAAUUUGGCUAAUGUUCGGAUUGAUAUCAAACCAUUAGAAGUAUUAACCAGAAUUUGCCCAGUUAUUUGCAAAUCUUUUGCGGAGCUUUCCUGUUGCAGGAACACACGCAUAUUCAUGGUCAAUAAUAUGGUUUUCGCGUGCCGCCACAAGUACGAUGACUUCGAUUGAUUUCGAAAUAACAGCAUGUGUUUGUCAAUAAUAGUAUCAUUACGCCACCAAAGCGACGAUUAUUAUUCCACGAUGUUUCAUAGAUUUGCAUGUUUAACUGAAGCUACAAUGUCGAAUGUGCCGUUUCUCCAACUUCAAGUAGCGUUGCUGCAAUUCCAGUAGAUGCGAGAGCCAACGUAAUGCCAAAAUCAAUGAUAUCAGAAUCAAUCAGGAUUCCCAGUUCCACCGUGCGUAUCAAGAAAUAAAAGUCCACCAUUUCCAUCAUUGACAGCCUUAAUCAAUUCAUCAUAGGUCGUCUUUUGCUGCUCAUUAAAUAAUGGAACAUUUCUUUAUACUUGUUGUUCCAAAGUUAUUCUGUCGUAUGCACGAUUCAGUACAUCUCUAAUUUGACGAUUUGGUGAUGGCAUAUGAAUUUCAAUGCUUCAUUGUAGAUUUCACCGCUCAUUUGCAAUUCUGAAUUCUCUGUUGCCACUUGCCAAUUUCCGACUUUUCAGAAUUGUUUUUUU